rnacentral:sRNA from 1 species
UCCACAGUAUUUUCGGCGACGAUAGUGAC